rnacentral:rRNA from 1 species
CGGCGUGCUAUACAUGCAAGUCGUACGCUUCUUUUUCCACCGGAGCUUGCUCCACCGGAAAAAGAAGAGUGGCGAACGGGUGAGUAACACGUGGGUAACCUGCCCAUCAGAAGGGGAUAACACUUGGAAACAGGUGCUAAUACCGUAUAACAAUCGAAACCGCAUGGUUUUGAUUUGAAAGGCGCUUUCGGGUGUCGCUGAUGGAUGGACCCGCGGUGCAUUAGCUAGUUGGUGAGGUAACGGCUCACCAAGGCCACGAUGCAUAGCCGACCUGAGAGGGUGAUCGGCCACAUUGGGACUGAGACACGGCCCAAACUCCUACGGGAGGCAGCAGUAGGGAAUCUUCGGCAAUGGACGAAAGUCUGACCGAGCAACGCCGCGUGAGUGAAGAAGGUUUUCGGAUCGUAAAACUCUGUUGUUAGAGAAGAACAAGGAUGAGAGUAACUGUUCAUCCCUUGACGGUAUCUAACCAGAAAGCCACGGCUAACUACGUGCCAGCAGCCGCGGUAAUACGUAGGUGGCAAGCGUUGUCCGGAUUUAUUGGGCGUAAAGCGAGCGCAGGCGGUUUCUUAAGUCUGAUGUGAAAGCCCCCGGCUCAACCGGGGAGGGUCAUUGGAAACUGGGAGACUUGAGUGCAGAAGAGGAGAGUGGAAUUCCAUGUGUAGCGGUGAAAUGCGUAGAUAUAUGGAGGAACACCAGUGGCGAAGGCGGCUCUCUGGUCUGUAACUGACGCUGAGGCUCGAAAGCGUGGGGAGCAAACAGGAUUAGAUACCCUGGUAGUCCACGCCGUAAACGAUGAGUGCUAAGUGUUGGAAGGUUUCCGCCCUUCAGUGCUGCAGCUAACGCAUUAAGCACUCCGCCUGGGGAGUACAACCGCAAGGUUGAAACUCAAAGGAAUUGACGGGGGCCCGCACAAGCGGUGGAACAUGUGGUUUAAUUCCAAGCAACGCGGAAAAACCUUACCAGGUCUUGACAUCCUUUGACCCUCUAAAAAUAAAGCUUCCCCUUCGGGGGCAAAGUGACAGGUGGUGCAUGGUUGUCGUCAGCUCCGGUCAUGAAAAGUUGGGUUAAGUCCCCCAACGAGGCCAACCCUUAUUGUUAUUUGCCAUCAUUAAUUGGGCCCUCUAACAAAACUGCCGGUGAAAAACCGGAGGAAAGUGGGGAUGACCUCCAAUCACCUUGCCCCUUAGAACUGGGCUAACACGUGCUUCAAUGGGAAAUUCACCGAGUCGGAAAUUCCGAGGUUAGCUUAUUCCUUAAGGUUCCCUCAUUUCGGAUUGGAAGUGGAACUCCCCUCUUGAAAGCGGAAUC